GCCGGGGUGCCUUAGCCAGGUAGAGGGUCGGCCUCGAGAAACGGGGUUCGUGGGUUCAAAUCCCACCCCCGGCG
rnacentral:tRNA from 1 species